AGGGAUAGUAUAUUAUGGGUUGCAGUCAAACUUCAUUGUGCUCAGACUGGUGAAAAUAGGAAUUGGGCUUUUGCAUUUUAAAGAAGGUACUAGGCUUUUGCAUUUUAAAGAAGAUAGUUUUCUUUCUAAUUCUCUCAUCUACUUAUUACCUACUUAAAGGAUAAUUUUAGAUCCCCCUGCAUAAAGUUUCUUCCUUUUUUUUUUUUUUUUUUUUUUUUUUUGUUUUUUAAUGCUACAACUUAUUCCAGUCUGUAAUCUCUGGAAUUUUUUGCUCUUUAGAAUUUGGAAGUUAACUAGCAUUUUUCAAGCCUUUAUUAUAUACCCUUGUCUUUUAUACUAACGUUUAUUUAUUAUUCUUUAGGUAAGAAUGAUUGAUGUUGGCUGAUUUUGGAGUCUUAUUUACUUGAGGCGGAAUUAGAUGUUCUCAAGACAGCACACAACAUGGGUCAGCUAAAAAGGAAAGCCACAAAUUACUUAGACUGACAAAGACUCUAGGAUCAAGUGAGCUGUAUCAGAAAAUGAGUCAAGACGAAAGAGGAAUGAAUUUGACAUUAAUAAAGUAAUUUAUUUUUAAAAA
ensembl:processed_transcript Gm12940 predicted gene 12940